GCCCUUAGAGUUUGAUCCUGGCUCAAGAUGAACGCUGGCGGCGUGCCUAACACAUGCAAGUCGAGCGAAGCACUUUACUUGAUUUCUUCGGAUUGAAGGUAUAGUGACUGAGCGGCGGACGGGUGAGUAACGCGUGGGUAACCUGCCUCAUACAGGGGGAUAACAGUUAGAAAUGACUGCUAAUACCGCAUAAGACCACAGCACCGCAUGGUGCGGGGGUAAAAACUCCGGUGGUAUGAGAUGGACCCGCGUCUGAUUAGCUAGUUGGUAAGGUAAGGGCUUACCAAGGCGACGAUCAGUAGCCGACCUGAGAGGGUGACCGGCCACAUUGGGACUGAGACACGGCCCAAACUCCUACGGGAGGCAGCAGUGGGGAAUAUUGCACAAUGGGGGAAACCCUGAUGCAGCGACGCCGCGUGAGUGAUGAAGUAUUUCGGUAUGUAAAGCUCUAUCAGCAGGGAAGAAAAUGACGGUACCUGACUAAGAAGCACCGGCUAAAUACGUGCCAGCAGCCGCGGUAAUACGUAUGGUGCAAGCGUUAUCCGGAUUUACUGGGUGUAAAGGGAGCGUAGACGGAGAGGCAAGUCUGAUGUGAAAACCCGGGGCUCAACCCCGGGACUGCAUUGGAAACUGUUUUUCUAGAGUGUCGGAGAGGCAAGUGGAAUUCCUAGUGUAGCGGUGAAAUGCGUAGAUAUAUAGGAGGAACACCAGUGGCGAAGGCGGCUUGCUGGACGAUGACUGACGUUGAGGCUCGAAAGCGUGGGGAGCAAACAGGAUUAGAUACCCUGGUAGUCCACGCCGUAAACG
rnacentral:rRNA from 1 species